rnacentral:tRNA from 2 species
GGGCCGUUAGCUCAGUUGGCAGAGCGCUCGCCUUUUAAGCGAGAUGUCGCAGGUUCGAAACCUGCACGGCCUA